UACGUAGGGUGCGAGCGUUGUCCGGAAUCACUGGGCGUAAAGCGCACGUAGGCGGAUUGCUAAGUCAGGGGUGAAAUCCUGGAGCUCAACUCCAGAACUGCCUUUGAUACUGGCGACCUUGAGUCCGGGAGAGGUGAGUGGAACUGCGAGUGUAGAGGUGAAAUUCGUAGAUAUUCGCAAGAACACCAGUGGCGAAGGCGGCCAACUGGUCCGAUACUGACGCUGAGGCGCGAAAGCGUGGGGAGCAAACAGG
rnacentral:rRNA from 1 species